GUGUGUGAGGAUCGACCAGGAAGAGCUUUAGGGAGCUCAAACCCUAACUUCAACAAAUCCAUCAAAUUGAAGGUCAAAUCUGGUCCAAAUCGGAUGCAUGAACACAUAUUAAUGAUCACCAAGUCGUGGGGAUCACAAGUUUGACGCUCAACGAGCUAGGUGAAAGGCUUGGGGAAGGAAGCGGGUCAAACGAAUCAAGAAUGAAGGGAAAAGCAUAAUUCGGAUGCAAUGUAAGUAUAGCUUACACUAGUCUUAUAUGUUCGAAUAUUCUCUUAUCGUAUUAGUUACGAAUAAGAUAAAUACAUAAUUUAAGUAUGAUGUUCCGACGUGUAAACGUACGGAACAAGGUAGUCGAGCAUGACAAGAAAUCGUGUUGAUGGUUUAAAAGAAAUUAAAACGGUAAAUUGGUCAUGCGUUGACCAUAAUUAUUUGUUUUGAAAGUCACUGUAAGGCGUAAGCCAUGAUAGGCUAAAAAGCGUUAAGAAAACGAUUAGUACGUGAAAUGACCACACGGUGUAAACCGAAGCGAGUCAUAUAGAUGAGAUGGUCAUAAAUAUCAUCUUGCCAACAUAAUCGGUCACUUAGACCAAAUGGGUCAAAAGGUGAAAAAAAAAUAUCACCCUUUGACAAUAACGACUAAUGAUUAUUGUCGAGCUGUAUUAUUUCAGGUGUAAAUGUCAAAUGGGUAUUAGCAACGCUAUGAAUUAGCGGUUAUAAAAGCAAGGUAUUAAAAAUGGGUCAAUAGAUUGAUCUGCGCCAGGUAUGUGAAAUAGGGUAACACUCAUUUAGAACAUGUGGUUCAAGAGUGUUAAAAGAGGUCAAAUGGACAUUUGGUUACUUGAUAAGUAAACCAAAUGUUUUAAGUAAUGAACAUAGCGUUUGGAAAGCUUAAUGACUUUUCAAACAAAAUCAUAGGUUAAAAGAGGGAUUAUGGGUCAAAUAUACUUUCAAAGGUCCUUCAUUGUUAAUAAAAGACUAAAAUGGACCAAAGCGCCCUUGGAGGCUAAAUUGAACAAACAACCUUUUUUUAAAGUUGUUUGGAAAUGAUUAUUACGAUUAAAUAAAUACAUAGGACAAGUAUAGAAGUUGAAAGAUGUAUUACGUUAGUCAAACGGCUCUAUUUGAGUCCUUGCCGUAAAAUAAUGAGUUGAGGGGUAAAACUCGGUUUGCAUAGAUUACCUUAGUAAACACACCAUAAAUAUAGUUGUGGUGGAAGAUCAUUUGACAAAUAUUGCGAAAUUAAGAAGCUAGAAAUAAAUAAUUAUGAAUUAUGCGGAGAAGUGCUUAAAUACCCUUAACGGGUCAAAAUAAGCACUUGAGUACAAACGGGUUUAAGAAUAUACAUGAACUCGUGAAUUGAACCUAAUAAGAUAGACAACAUUGAAAUUACAAGAUUUAUGUGACAUAGGAAUCAAACAAAUACGUUUGUUUGGUAAAACCGCGAAUGGGUCAAAAUUUGGUAAAAAGGGUAAUAAGCCGAAGACUUAAAAGUCUUAAAUUUUGUUAAGCCGGACGUCGAAUUUUAACUCCAUGUGAUGGAGAAUCAAAUUACAAUCACGUAGGAAGAAACGGUAGGUUAAACGGACAAGCGGUUUGAAAGAUACGAAAGAUUUCGUGUCAAUUACGGCAAAAAGGAAACUGGGCUGUUACAGAGUCCACCGUAACUUACGGUGCCACCGUAAGUUACGGUGGAGAUGAAAAUGAUACGGUGGGUUUCUACUGUUGUACGGUAGAAACAGAUUAAACCAGAGGCCACCGUAACUUACGGUUCCACCGUAAGUUACGGUGGAGGCCAGGAUUGAAAAUUUUGUUUUGGUGAUCGAUUGUUUCUCGAACUCGUUUAGACACGUUUUAAACCUAGUAUGACUAAAGCAUUUCAUGUUUAUGAAAUGUAGGUACACCACGGAUGCCGGAAGACGAUCAAGCUCAACGAAGAACCGAACACGAUACAGUUACAUGCUUCCGCACUUUGCCACGUUGAAAUUUUUAAGCAACGAAUUAGAUCACGUUACGUAGAAUAAAUUAUAAAUUGUAAAGGUUUUAGUAAACCCGUAUUUCCAAAUGUUUAUGUAAUCUGAAUUACAUGAUUGUUUUUUUUUUUUUUGUAAAAUAUACGUUAAACCUUGAAUAAUAAGAACGGGUGU
rnacentral:lncRNA from 1 species